AGCGAACGCUGGCGGCAGGCUUAACACAUGCAAGUCGAGCGGGCCCUUCGGGGUCAGCGGCAGACGGGUGAGUAACACGUGGGAACGUACCCUUUGGUUCGGAAUAACGCUGGGAAACUAGCGCUAAUACCGGAUACGCCCUUUUGGGGAAAGGCUUGCUGCCGAAGGAUCGGCCCGCGUCUGAUUAGCUAGUUGGUGGGGUAAUGGCCUACCAAGGCGACGAUCAGUAGCUGGUCUGAGAGGAUGAUCAGCCACACUGGGACUGAGACACGACCCAGACUCCUACGGGAGGCAGCAGUGGGGAAUAUUGGACAAUGGGCGCAAGCCUGAUCCAGCCAUGCCGCGUGAGUGAUGAAGGCCUUAGGGUUGUAAAGCUCUUUUGUCCGGGACGAUAAUGACGGUACCGGAAGAAUAAGCCCCGGCUAACUUCGU
rnacentral:rRNA from 1 species